GGUCUUGAGCGCCAGCGCACAGCCCCGGCUUGCUGGCCGGCAACCCUCCUCCGCGGUGGGGUGCCCCGGGAGACGACCCGGUCCGUGGCGUCCGUCACGGUCAAGCGCGCACC
rnacentral:ncRNA from 2 species